rnacentral:rRNA from 1 species
GAUGAACGCUGACAGAAUGCUUAACACAUGCAAGUCUUUGGCGAAGCUGUGCUUGCACCGCCUAGCCAAGGCGGACGGGUGAGUAACGCGUAAGGAACUUGCCCUGCAGUCAGGGAUAACAGACGGAAACGACUGAUAAGACCUGGUAAAGUCAGGCGGACUCAUGUCCAGCCUGAUGAAAAGAGAUGCUGCAGGAGAGCCUUGCGUCCUAUUAGCUUGUUGGUGGGGUAACGGCCCACCAAGGCGAUGAUAGGUAGCCGGCCUGAGAGGGUGGACGGCCACAAGGGGACUGAGAUACGGCCCUUACUACUACGGGAGGCAGCAGUGGGGAAUAUUGGACAAUGGGGGCAACCCUGAUCCAGCAAUUCUGUGUGCACGAUGAAGGUUUUCGGAUUGUAAAGUGCUUUCAGCAGGGAAGAAAAAAAUGACGGUACCUGCAGAAGAAGCGACGGCUAAAUACGUG